rnacentral:lncRNA from 1 species
AUAGUCUGAAAAUCAUUUUCUUCAUUUGCUGCACCUGCCACUGGAGAGCUCCUGCAACCUUCAGUGAUGCAGAGCAAACAGCCGUUGCCUUGAAGAGAAUGCUUUCCAACUCUUUGGUGCCUGCCACUUCUCCUCUGUCUUGCAUUUGAAAUCCUCCAGGAUGGAUCCUGAUGCACCGUGUAAAAGGGUGUAAAAGGGACUUUGGGAGGCAGCUGACUUCUCCAAAGAGCUGUGCCAGAUGAAACACACAGCCAGGAUUUCCAGCCCACUGAACCAUGGAACAU